rnacentral:lncRNA from 1 species
AGUUUAAUAACAUGGAGUACUAGAACUGUGGUUAGAUAAUUUUUUUGUAAGUAAUAUGAGGGAUGGCCUUCCAAUACGGAUUAAGUUCUUAAGUCGUGACCCCACUGUAUGAGGUUUUGUCUGCAAAAAGCAACAAAAGAUAUCAUUUUAAAAUUAAAUGCUGGGAAAUACUGAGUUUCACAACCUGUUCAGCAUUUUUGUGUUCACUACAGGACCUGCUUCUUCCACCUGUAUAAAUAUCGAAUAAUGUCAUCAUUCAGCAAAGAUAACUUUAAAAAAAAAUAGCAAUGAGAACUGCUAUUAAUUGUCUUUCGUCAAGAAUUGAUGUUGCACAUACAGUAAUUGGUAGACUUGAGAGAAAAUGGAGAAAUUCCUGAAGGAAGUUAUGAUUGCAUGCUGCAUGUGUUAUUUGACCAAGAGGACUGCAUGGAGUCUCAAAGAAAGAUCAGACAGGCAGAAAAGAAUCCGAAUUCUGUGGCUACAUUCCCUCUCACGCCUUAGUUUCAGUAAAUCACAUUGUGUAGCAUCACAUGUUUUAAAAAUUCCAGUGGGUCAGCAAUGACAUUUCAGAGAUGAAACAUCAACUGGUAGAGCUUCAGCAGCCAGGCGAGGUGCGUCUGGAUUCUUUUCUUGCCAUGGCAGCCCAGAAUACAUCGCUUACAUAAAAAAACAACCUAAACUCCAGAUUGUGGUUAUAACUAGUUAAUGUAUAUAGUCUGAUAGAGGGGGAACAAGACUUGACAGAAUUAGGCCAUAUGUGAGAAAUCAUAAAUGGAUGCUAAUCCUCAUAGGAGACAAACAUCCUGAUCUUAAUUACAUUUUUUUAAAACUUGGAAGCAUGUCCUGCUCCUUUCUGCCAAAGUGUGCUUUGGGACCGGAGCCUAAGGAUUCAUCGUCUUGCCAAAUGUUAAUGAUUCUGGUGAAUGGAUGCUUUCGGGUUUGUUCUUUUUAGCACAAAUUUGUAAAAUGCCGUUUUUUUUUUCCCCCUUCCUCUUUCUGCAGGAUAUGCCCAGCACUGUUUAUCCACCAUCAAAUACUUUUUACACCAUCAAAUACUUUUUACACAUGUGCACUUUUCUAAGGCUGGCCUAAUCGCCAUAAGAGCAUGUGCCAAAGUCCACAUGUUUAAUUACUGGCUAAAGCUUCUCUUCUCUUCAGAAGGCUUGGUACAGAUGCCACUUUUUGACUCCUUUCAAUCAGCAUGGAAACUACAACUUACAAAAGAAGUAAGGCAAAUGGGCUUU